rnacentral:rRNA from 1 species
GACGAACGCUGGCGGCGUGCCUAACACAUGCAAGUCGAACGGAGAUAGUUAAUGAAGCUUGCGACUUAGCUAUCUUAGUGGCGAACGGGUGAGUAACGCGUGGGUAACCUGCCCUUAAGACCGGGACAACAGCUGGAAACGGCUGCUAAUACCGGAUGUAUUGUCCGAGAGGCAUCUCUUGGAGAAGAAAGCUGGCCUCUGAAAAUGCUAGCGCUUAGGGAUGGACCCGCGUCUGAUUAGCUAGUUGGUGGGGUAGCGGCCUACCAAGGCGACGAUCAGUAGCCGGCCUGAGAGGGUAAACGGCCACACUGGGACUGAGACACGGCCCAGACUCCUACGGGAGGCAGCAGUGGGGAAUCUUCCGCAAUGGACGAAAGUCUGACGGAGCAACGCCGCGUGUAUGAAGAAGGCCUUCGGGUUGUAAAAUACUGUUGUUAGGGAAGAACGGCAUCUGUGUAAAUAAUGCAGGUGAUUGACGGUACCUAACGAGGAAGCCCCGGCUAACUACGUGCCAGCAGCCGCGGUAAUACGUAGGGGGCAAGCGUUGUCCGGAAUCAUUGGGCGUAAAGGGCGCGUAGGCGGCAAUAUAAGUCUGAUGUGAAAGUGCGGAGCUUAACU